CCUGACUAAACUACCCUCCCUUCAUUCCCCAUCUUACUACCUUUUCCAUCUUCCCUCUAUAUAUCCCUCAAUUUUCACUUCCCAUUUUAUUCCAAAAAUAUCUUCUAAAUUCACUUCAAUUUCCACUCGAAGUUUCUUCAUCGAUUAUCAAAAUGUUUAACCGAGAAGAUGAGGAGAUGUUACUUCCACGUUCUGAUUUGUCUGAUGAAGGUCCUCAGCCUAAGGAAGAAUAUGGAAGGCUGCUGGAUCUUGUACACAUCUACUAGAGGGCCAUACUGAUGCAAUUACUUCUAUUUAUGUUGUCAAACCAAGAGGUAUCAGUGAGAGAUAGUUUCCCAGUUGCUCGUUUCUAGCAUUAUGCUUUAUCGUCUGCUGCCAUUAUCAUUUGUCUGUGACACCAUGUUUUGAGAUACGUUCAGGAGCUUUGAGAUACAUUCAUCAUGCUUCAUACUACCUACUUUUUGUAAUAGAUUGUUGCUUCUUAGCCUUUCAUUAUGAGAAGUAGUCACUGGUUCAUUGAUAAGAAA